rnacentral:sRNA from 1 species
GACACCCAGAGAGGAGCACACGCAAUACAAGUCAGACUUUUAAUUUUUUCCUUUUUUAAUGCAUGGUUUUCCUGAAUUCCAGGACUAUGAAGGUUUUGAAACAGCACUUCACAAAGGCAGGGACUCUGGAAAAUUCUGAGGGAGUUUCAGAGCAGAUGAACUUCUGUCUGCUUCUCCCUAGGUCCCCGACCUAUCUGUUCUUGUCCCAGCCUAGUUAGAAAGGAAAACUCUCCCUUGAUUUUCCCUAAACGGGUGGAAUAAAGGAAAACUAAAGCUGUUACUACCAGUCUUUUCUGGGAGAUGAAAAUCCAAUCUCAAGGAUGUUUCUUCCUGGACCAAAGCUGUGAUGGGUGAAGAAAAAUGAUAGAAUGAAAAGCUCUUGUGUUAUGUAUUUGCCAGAGAUGUGUGUUACUUGCGCCUACAUCAUCAUUAAGGUAUUUGAAAAGCAGCGUGCACUACAAGAAGCGUGAGCGUGGAUGCUCAAACAGACCUAGGGAUGAUAGUCUACUUGGGAAUGAUGGCGGGGGCCUUCAUCCUGGGAGGCCUGGCUGAUAAGCUGGGAAGGAAGCGAGUCCUCAGCAUGUCUCUGGCCGUCAAUGCCU